rnacentral:rRNA from 2 species
CUUAAAUUGAAGAGUUUGAUCAUGGCUCAGAUUGAACGCUGGCGGCAGGCCUAACACAUGCAAGUCGAGCGGAAACGAGUUAUCUGAACCUUCGGGGGACGAUAACGGCGUCGAGCGGCG